AGUGAACGCUGGCGGUAGGCCUAACACAUGCAAGUCGAACGGCAGCACAGUAAGAGCUUGCUCUUACGGGUGGCGAGUGGCGGACGGGUGAGGAAUACAUCGGAAUCUACUUUUUCGUGGGGGAUAACGUAGGGAAACUUACGCUAAUACCGCAUACGACCUACGGGUGAAAGCAGGGGAUCUUCGGACCUUGCGCGAUUGAAUGAGCCGAUGUCGGAUUAGCUAGUUGGCGGGGUAAAGGCCCACCAAGGCGGCGAUCCGUAGCUGGUCUGAGAGGAUGAUCAGCCACACUGGAACUGGGACACGGUCCAGACUCCUACGGGAGGCAGCAGUGGGGAAUAUUGGACAAUGGGCGCAAGCCUGAUCCAGCCAUACCGCGUGGGUGAAGAAGGCCUUCGGGUUGUAAAGCCCUUUUGUUGGGAAAGAAAAGCAGCAGGUUAAUACCCCGCUGUUCUGACGGUACCCAAUGAAUAAGCACCGGCUAACUUCGUG
rnacentral:rRNA from 1 species